GACCGCGUAGCUCAGUUGGAAGAGCAUUGGGCUAGUAUUCCGAAGGUCGUAGGUUCGAAUCCCACCGCGGCCG
rnacentral:tRNA from 1 species